ensembl:snoRNA
AAGUACAAGUCAGUAUGUGGUGAAUUGUGGCCAUGGGAACUCCAACUACAUGCAUCAGCAACCUGGAAAGGCAUUGACAGCUCAGGCCAACACUUUACCUGCAGUUUCUAUUUGGCUUUCCUUUAAAG